AUACAUCUAACAUUAAUAUUCUAUGAUAGAUGAUUUGAUUUGAUAGUCAUUAUAGAAGAAAUUCUCUGGUAAAAGAAAGGAUGUGUCUUUUAUUCUGGAUUAUUUCAAAUGCUAUGUGAUUUUCAUAGGUUGAUUGCUGAUGUACCAUUCUAAGAAAAUCUGUAGCAUCUAAAGUCUAGGAUGAGUGGACCAUUGAUCCUUAAUCUUGGAUUUGGAAUAUUUAAUGAUAGAUCACUUUUCCUCCUAG
rnacentral:lncRNA from 1 species